GGAGAGAAUAGUAAGGCGAAGAGAUAAUACUUCGUAAUGACUCGGCAGUUUGGUUUCAUUAGUGUGACGAUAUGAAGAACCAUUUAAUUCCUAGUUCCGGUUUAUUGUCUUGCGGGAUGAUAAGGUGGUUAGAAAUGUUUGCUUUAAAGUGAGAAAAAGGGUGGCACAGAAUCGGAGGCCUCGACUGUUUACUUAAAACACACACAUUUGCACGGCGUUAUUUUUUUGUAUAGGGGUGGAGUUUUGCCCGAUACCAUAAAUAUAUAAUUCAUAGGCGCUCGGGGGCUUUCUUUUAUUUAAAUCUGGGCCAAGGGGGUGUUACCCUAAGGGUCCUAAGGUAGCGAAAAUCCUUGUCGGGUAAGUUCCGACCCGCACGAAAGAAGUAACGAUGUUCGCACUGUCUCGGACAGAGAUCUCGAGUUAAAAAGACAUGUCGGGGAGAUGC
rnacentral:rRNA from 1 species